rnacentral:lncRNA from 1 species
GAGUACCUGGGACUACAGGCGUGCGCCACCACGCCUGCCUACUUUUUGCAUUUUCAGUAGAGACAAGGUUUCGCCAUGUUGGCCAGGCUGGUCCUGUACUCCUGACCUCCAGUGAUCCGCCUGCUUUGGCUUCCCAAAGUGCUGGGAUUACAGGCGUGAGCCACCGCGCCUGGCUGGUUGGUUUGAUUUCUAUCAGACAUAUUUUAAUUCCCUACAUGAUUUAAUGUGUAAAUGUAGAAUUUCAUGUUCUUUUUAGUGAAAGAAGUUCAGGUCUUCAGGGUAUAAUGAGGUAGGAAGGCUUAGUCAUCUAGGGAAACUAUACCAUGUACUUAUUAUCUUUUUAGUGUUGGGAUUAGGGUUGCCAGAUAAAAUACAGGAUGCCCCACUAAAUUUGAAUUGCUAAACAACAGGGACAUACUUAGACACAAACAUUAUUCAGUGUUUAUCUGAAAUUCAAAUUCCGCUGGGUGUCAGGCAUUUCUGUUUGCCAACUCCAGCAGCCCCAGCUGGGAGGUGCCCUCUGAGCUCCUCUCCCUGGAAGUCCUCUUACCUGCUGUCAGCUGAGCAAUUUGCCAGGCUUGCUUUGGGAGCUGGCUUGAAGUUAUUUGGAUUUGAUGACUCUCUUUCUCUUCUGUACAGGAAUCUACUUACCAAGAUGGCAGGAGCAAGUGGUUAUCAGAGCCUGCUCUCUAGAAAUACAAUUAAACAAGCAGCCCCUGUCUCUUUUUCUCCACUUUCAGUCUUGGGGAAGGGAUUGGAAUAUGUGAGCAGGAGAGAAGGGUCAUGUUGGAGCAGCCAGGACUCAGAGCCUUUCCGCAGACUGAGUCUGGAUCCUUUCCUUCAGCCUCCAGGAAUACUCCCGGCUCCACACCCAGAAUGGUAAUCCAGGCAAGGGCUCUGGUGUGUGGCCACACUGCCACCUAUUACCUGCGGGUCCAAAUGCAGUGACUCAACUUCUCUGUGCCUCUCUUUCCACAUGUAUAAAAUGAGGAUAAUGUUGCUAUUGUAAGAAUUGCAUCAAUUAAUAAACAGCACUCAGUGAA